GACGAACGCUGGCGGCGUGCCUAACACAUGCAAGUCGGACGGAGUAAGCCCCUUCGGGGACUUACUUAGUGGCGAACGGGUGAGUAACGCGUGAGGAACCUACCUCUCAGUGGGGGACAACAGUUGGAAACGACUGCUAAUACCGCAUAAUGUAGCAGGACCGCAUGGUCAUGCUACCAAAGCUUUAUGUGCUGAGAGAUGGCCUCGCGUCUGAUUAGCUAGUUGGUGGGGUAACGGCCUACCAAGGCGACGAUCAGUAGCCGGACUGAGAGGUUGAACGGCCACAUUGGGACUGAGAUACGGCCCAGACUCCUACGGGAGGCAGCAGUGGGGAAUAUUGGGCAAUGGGGGAAACCCUGACCCAGCAACGCCGCGUGAAGGAAGAAGGCCUUCGGGUUGUAAACUUCUUUUACCAGGGACGAAAAACGUGACGGUACCUGGAGAAAAAGCAACGGCUAACUACGUGCCAGCCGCCGCAGUAAAAC
rnacentral:rRNA from 1 species